GAACGAGUGUUUGACACUCCUGACUUUGCAGGUGGACAGAAAAACCACAUCUGUCCAGGCCCCAGCACAGGAGUAUGAUCCUGGCCACUUCUAAAAAUACUCAGGAUCAGAAAGAAAAAUCUUUACUUUGACUAGAAAGUGUUAUUAUAUAGGAGACUUUCAAGAUCUGUAGCAAAACACCUUCUAUGUGCCAUGCAUUUUGUAUUCAUUUUUGAACUCUCUGGUCCUACAUGUAGGUGUCAUUUGCUCAGUUUUACGAAUGAAGGAUGGAGGUUCAAGGUGUGGCUGCAAUGAGCCAGGACUGGAAACCAGGCUUAAGUGCAAAGCCAUGCUCUCUCCACAGCCUCUGCCCCUUAGUGAGGGAUGUGGUAGAGGGCGGAUCACCUGAGGUCAGGAGUUUGAGACCAGCCUGGCCAACACGGUGAAACCCCCUCUCUACUAAAAAUACAAGAAUUAGCUGGCCUUGGUGGCGUAAAAUAUGUAUUUAAUGACUCAUUAGCAAAAUGGAGAUUUUCCUUUAAGUAGUUCUUAUGAUACAGAUAACAACUAUGUUUUGUUGUUGUUGGUUUAUUUAUUUAUUUAUUUAUUUAUUUACUUACUUUUUUGAGAUGGAGUCUCACUCUGUCGCCCAGGCUGGGGUGCAAUGGCACAAUCUUGGCUCACUGCAAGCUAUGAGUAAGAAGGCGUGUUUUCACCGGAAGCCACAAGCUAAAGCAAAAUAGGCAAGAAGCAUAAACGGACUUGCUCAAAAGCCUCUCUCUUUCCUCAGAGCCCAGCUAGCCCACGUGUGCCUUUGUGAGACAGAAAAAGACAUCCUCUCCUCUGGAUUUCUGCCUGCUCACUGUCGGCCCUCAGCCAGGCCCCCUGGGCCUUGCCCUGCCCACACAGCCACACAGCAGCCAUGUUCCCCACCCAUGCAGCAAUUUCAAGUGUGGAUGACAAACACCUGGAGAGAAGCAGCAGCUGGUGUCAGAAGGAAUGACAGGGGAGGGGGACAAAGGAGGCAAGCCCAGGAUAGGAUUUGAACCCGAGCAGACAGACUCCUGGACCCACGCACCUCACCAAGUGUGGUUGGCUAGCGAGCCGAAAGAACCCUGGAGGCAGGGUGCUGAAGGAGGGGAGAGUGGUGUGAGGCUCUCUGUUGAGACUCCAUCUCAAAAAUAAAAUAAAAUAUAAUAAAUAAAUCCAGCUACUAGGUGUCUGGUGUGUCCUACCCUCUGUGGAUGGCACGGCUGAAGCGAUUCUCCUGCCUCAGGCUCCUGAGUAGCUGAGAUUACAGGUGUGCGCCACCACACCCAGCCAAUUUUUAUAUACUUAAUAGAAACGACGUUUCACCAUGUUGCCCAGGCUGGUCUCAAACUCCUGAUCUCAAGUGACCUGCCCGCCUCAGCCUCCCAAAGUGCUGGGAUUACAGGUGUGAGAAUCAAAAUUGGCCAGGCACAGUGGCUCAUGCCUGUAAUCCUAGCAUUUUGGGAGGCUGAGGCAGGCGGAUUGCCUGAGCUCAGGAGUUCGAGACCAGCCUGGGCAAGACAGUAAAAAAAACGACUGUUUAGAAAUAUGGAGCUGCAAGAAGAAACCAGGACAAGUGGGAAAAAAUGGGCAUGGGACUACUGGAGUCUUCCACAAGCCAUUUAAAGAAUUCCUUUAUGUAUUCCUUUAAAGAGAUCAGACAAGCAGCAUACUCAGUGGGUCCAAUACACCAAUGGUGAAGGAGGGACAUUUAUUCAAAUCUACAAAGGGACAGAGCACGAGAGAGAAAAGAAGUGAUUUGCAAGAAAUGCCACACACAGAGACAAAGGAGAGUUUCAGUCAUGACACACACUGUCCUCCUGGCCUAUGUGCAGGCGACCACAGACCACCACUGCUUGUACACUUGGUGACCAAAACAAUCCCAUGUAGCAAAACAGCCUGACUUAGCUCUAGUCGUGAAGGCUAUGGAGACAUUCACCAGGAUGGAAACACUAAAAACAAAACAUCCCCUAAGACCAAAGAAGAGGAGAGCUUUCCUGAUCUUUUUCUUCAUAUAGUGUCUAGAGUCUUCCAUUUCUACCUUGGGAGCUGUCCAAAGAAAACCCAUCACACUCACCUAUGUCCUCGCUGGCAAACCUGACAAGCCUCCGUGCCACGUAGAGUGGGUCCUCUCCUCCCUCGAGCAUGCGAGCCAGCCAGUAGAGGGAGGCGUUCUGGUCUGAGCCCCGCAUGGACUUGUGCAGGGCGGAGAUGCAGUUGUAAUGCUCCUCACCUGACAUCACAAAGAGCACCACUCACACAGAGCUCACAGGAGGGGCGCCCAAGCCAUCUUCAC
rnacentral:lncRNA from 1 species